GACGUAGGAUGCAAGCGUUGUCCGGAUUUAUUGGGCGUAAAGAGUUCGUAGGUGGUUCGUUAAGUCUGAUGUUAAAGACUGGGGCUCAACCCUGGAAGUGCAUUGGAUACUGGCGGACUUGAGUGUGGUAGAGGCAAUCGGAAUUCCAGGUGUAGCGGUGAAAUGCGCAGAUAUCAGGAGGAACACCGGUGGCGAAGGCGGGUCUCUGGGCAACAACUGACGCUGAGGAGCGAAAGCGUGGGGAGCGAACAGG
rnacentral:rRNA from 1 species